rnacentral:pre_miRNA from 1 species
AACCAGCGCAGACAGGCAUGCCCCGGGCAUCUCUGGGCAAGUAUCUCUUUGAGUGCCUCCCUCUCAAGCAUGACUAGGAGG